GAGCUGGGACUAGAACCCAGGUGUUCCAACUCCUACUUUCCACUACACAACUGAGUUUCUUGUUAACUGAAAUUCCUCAGCCAAAGUUCCUUUUUCUUUGUUCAUUUUUAUCACCCUCCCCCUUUCUCCAUUCCAACCCCAUAGCAAGGUUCCUGAAGAUGACCAUACACCUGUAGAAAAUUAAUUAUAUCUCCUAAAAAAGGCAUCUAUUAAGUGCCCAAGGAUAGUGCAGCUUACGUCUGUGCUCCAGGUUCAGUAUUUGACUUCACCUACCUCAGAAAAUUGUAUCUAUUGUUAACUCAGUGUGCCAAGGGUCUGUUUUCAGUCCCCUCCAUACUUGAGUCUAAAUCAAAGGGCUUAAAUACUCUCCUGAGCCAUUUGAAAGGAUCCAGUUUGGCCUUAAUUCAUCCCCUCUUCAGUGGGGUCUAAACAGAAAAUUCUACCAAUGAACAAGAGGAGAGGUGUGGAUAUGAAAAAUCUUCAUGUAAGGUUAGAGGAGAAGUUGGUCCAGGGUUUGGGGAUAUUUUAUGUCACCUCCCAACUUUUUAAGUUCACAGAACCACAAGAAUGAAAAGAGGUGUUCGUCCAAUCCCAGUAAAGGUGUUGCAACCCAGUUCCUCUGAAUUCCAUCCCAAAAAGAUUCCCAAAUAAGAAGAGUCAUUCUCCAGUGCACUAUAGGUUGGAUGUGAAAGUGAUAUUUUCUCCACAACAAAACCUGGAUGUCUGAAAUAUUUGACAUUAUUAAGAAGACUACAAUGUACUGUUGGAGAAUUCUGCUUAUUGUAAUAUUCCUGAAGUUGGUUUUUGCAUACCUGCACUUUCUUGGUUUCUAAAAAUCUUCUGUAUUUGGAGUUGUACUGCCAAAAAAGUUCUCACCCUGUAGCAGUUUUCUGUGUAUCAGAUUUUAAACGUAGAACAAUCUUUUACAGGCUUUUUUAUUUAAAAGAAUGCUCUCAUUAUAUAAUUUCAGGGCCUUGGGUUACUAUUUUAACAAAAGAAGAAAAAGUAUUUUCAUGUUAAAACUACAGCUUUAGUUGGGUGACUGGGAAAACAUGACAGUAGAGAUUUUAUCCAGUAUCCCGUGACUGUUGUUAAUAAUGAUUGCUGCUUACAUCUGCAUAAUUGAAAAGCUCCCAGUUUAUGAAAAACUGUAAGCCAGGGGAACUCACUGUCAUAGAAUGCAGCAUUAUUAUGUCAGAAUCAAGGAAAGUUUCUGUCCCCAUUCACUUUUUCUCUGUGGUAUAUAUUCUUUCUAGUGUGUAUUUAAUAAAAGCAUGUGUUUUUAUAAAUAAAGAUCAACUUUGUUAAACCAA